rnacentral:lncRNA from 1 species
AAUGUGUUACCUUCCAUGGCAAAAGAGACUUUGCAGAUGUGAAUGAGGUCAAACACCUUGUUGAAGGAGAUCAUCCAGGAAUAUCUUGAGUCUCUUCAGCAACAUGAUUCUGGGGAGGCAGGCCUGUGGAAAGCUCACAGAAUGGUAGAAUUAGAAGCCAUCACAAAAGUAACCCAGUGCAACUGCCUGCCCAAAGCUGGAAUCUCUCCCACAACGUCCCUGAUCAUUGGACACUCAGCGUUUGCUUGGACCUUGGGGGUGAAACUUUAGUUCCUGGUCUGCCCCAACUACACAUUGAAUUCUCUCUUCACAGCUGACUUAGUUCUGCUGUCAGAGAAUAUUCUUUUUUUUUUUUUUUUUUUUUUGAGAUGGGGAUCUCACUAGUCUCAAAUCCCUUGCCUCAAUCAAACCUCCCACAUUGGCCCCACAAAGUGCCAUGAUUACAGGUGAGAGCCACCACGCCCGGCCAAUAACAUUACUUAUAAGGAAAUCUGUUGCAUUGCUCUGUUAAAAGGGGAUCUGCUAAAACAUUCUUUCUUGCUAUGAACCAACAUCUACUGCUCUCAAAUGUCCAUGUUUUGACAUUAGUUCUGCUUUUUAAAGUGAUGUAGAACAGAACAUACAGGCUGUGCCUAGGGCCUGAGAUAAAAGAAUUGGGUUCAGAAGAAAGGCUGGCAGAUUAUUGAGCUGCAUUCAACUCAAGCCUGUUCCACUGGACACAUGUUCAUUGAGCAUCUAUUUUGUGCCAGGCAUUCUGUGAGCUGCCGUGAACCAUGAGCACACAAACACAGCCCCUGCCCUAGAGGAGCUUACAGUUUAAGUGAAAAAGGUGGACAGACAGGAGGAGGCUACCAGACAUCCAGUCAUCGCUGUUGACCUGCUAGGACAGACGGGAGGUCCUUCCUCUGGACAACUCUCUGAGAACUCACUGCUGUUGGGACCAGAAAGCUGACGAGAACCCCAAGGCUCAGCAGGGGAAAGAGAUUUGCAAAGAUGGCCAACAGAAGACAGUCCAGGAUGCUCACAACUCCCUGGGGUGAACGUUACCCCUGCCAAUGUCACACUUCCCCAAGGAGAGAAUACACCCCUGCCCCAGCAGUUCAGGCACAGCUGUCCUGUCUCAUUCUUACAGAACAGAGGGUCUGCAGGCAUCUCAGUAAGAUACUAAAGCAAUUUGUUUUAUUUGUCCAAGGGAAUACUGCCCUUAUUUGACUGAAUAAGCAUAAAUAGCCAGGGAGGGGUCUGUUUGUGGCGUCACCAUCUGCACCAGCAGAAGAGCCCUCACACAUUGUCUCUUUCCCAGCAGCUGCAGUUCUCCUAAAGAAGUCAGAUCAAGUUCAGGUUUAAAAUAAGUAAUCUGGAUUUGCAAGGUGCCAUGAGGAUGGCAGUGCCACUAUACCAAUUCCCCAGGGAACUAUUCCCAGGGCUCCAGGCCCCAUGGUUUGACUUCUCUUCUCUGGCAUGAGAAAUCAGUGUAUUCUCACAUUGUCUCCUGAGAUUCAGAUCCUCUGCCAAACGAUGGAUCUGAAACCACUCUCAUCUCUACCUCCAUGCUUCAACACCUCCAUCUGCUCCAGAGUGGACUACUUGGGACAGAUACAUAAAAAUAAAAGACAGUGUUUCAGGGAAAGGGAAGAAGUGUGGACCUUUGGUGGAUACCCAUUCUACUUCAUUGGAUCAUCCUGAUAACUCAAUAUGCUCAGUGUUAUUAUCACAUUGUGUAGAUGAGGCUGAGAACAUGCGCUUGUCUGUGGUCACACUACUGUGCAGUGAUGGAGUUGGAAUACCAGCUCAUUUGUCAAAGCCUGGGUUCCCCUCAAAGCUUCUUAAACUUUGGCAGGACUAAAAUACUCCUAAUGCAAGAGAUGGGUAAAUGCACACUCCCGGGUGAGCUUGGGGCUCAGUAUACACAGUCCGUGGUGUUCAGUCAGCAUGGAACAUUGUUCCUGGCCUUUCACUGAGAAGACUCUCAUUGGUCCUUCCCUCAGCCAGUCAUUUCCUCCAGGAAGCUAUUUCUGAGCUCCCCGGUCUAGGCUCCGUUGCCAACCCCCGAGGUGCUCCAAUAUUGCAUAUUCUGUGAGGGCACUCAGCUUGUGUUGUGUUGCUUAAUUAUUUGUCGGUGUGGCCUCAGGAGGUCAGGGACCACAUCUGCCUUGUGUCUUCCUAUAGGUACCCCCAGCAGCCAGCACACUGCUCAGCACAGUAUAACUGCCCAAUGAAUAGCUGUUGAGUAAACAUUGACUCCAGCUAAAGCUUCUAUCUCAUGUGUAAAUUGCCUCUCGAACAGAUCUGUUAGUUAUAAUCCAGCCUCUUCAAACACAGCACCAACAACAGAAAAUUCAGAAAAUGAAGAGGCAAAGACUGGAUGCAGUGGCUCAUGCCUUUAAUCCCAGCCAUCUGGGAGGCCAAGGCAGGAGGAUUGCUUAAGCCUGGGAGUCAGAGACCAGCCUGGAAAACAAAGCGAGACCCUGUCUCUACAAAAAAAAAAAUUUUAAUUAGCCAGGUGUGAUGGCAUACACCAGUUAAAAUGGGAGGAUCACUUGAACCUGGGAGGUCGAGGCUACACGAGCAGUGAUGGCACUGCUGCACUCCAGCCUGGGCAACAAGUCAACCCUGCUCAAAAAAAAAAGAGAGAGGCAAACCCUUCUAUGUUCAUCCCACACCAUACCCAUUCUACUCCAUAUUCUUUGUUGAUUGUUUGGGUUUCGUUUUGUUUUGUUUUUUGAGACAGGGUCUCACUCAGUUGCCCAGGCUGGAGUGCAGUGGCACAAAUACAGCUCACUGCAGCCUCAUCCUCCUGGGUUCAAGGGAUUCUCCCACUUCAGUCUCUUGAGUAGCUGGAACUACAGGUGCAUGCCACCAUGCCCAGCUAAUUUAAACAAUUUUUUGUAAAAACGGGGCUCUCACUAUGUUGCCCAGACUGGUCUUGAACUCCUGGCCUCAAGCUAUCCUCCCGCCUCAGUGUCCCAAAGUGCUGGGAUUAUAGACAUGAGACAUCAUGCCAGCCUACGGCAUAUUCUCUGUAUUCCAGGCACACUGGCCCUCCUUGAGUUCCUUAAAUGCUCUAUGAUCCCUCCACCGCAUGGCUUUUGCACACCCCAUUCCCUCUAAUCCCCACUCUUGCUCUUUCUCCAGAUCUCAGCUCAGUCCCAGUUCAUGUUCUUGGGGCACCAUUUGGCUCUCUCUCAUACCUUUAAGCACAUGGUUUGUGUCUGAUUGCAUGUCUUGCACUGCGAAGGCAGGUGUGAGGUUUUUUUGGUCUUUGUUUACCCUCGUGUCUCCAGCAUCUAGUGGCUGGCAUAGUGUACAAGCUCAGUACACUGUGCCUGAACAAUGAAGUGAUGUUUAAAUGGAGGUCUGUGCAGGUGGAGUAUUCUAAGCAGGAGAAACAGGUAGAGCAAAGCCCUGAGGAAAGAGAUAUCAAGUUGCAUUUAAGACUGAACGAAGCCCACUGUAGCUGAGCCAUAGAGAAUGAGGGGGAAGAGCGCAUCAUGGUAAGGCUCUAGAGAGGUAGGCAGAGCCUCACAGGGUCUUAAAAGUGAGUUAAGACCUUUGACUUGCCACCAUCGGGUUUUAAGCAGGGUGGUAAUUCUCCCGUUCUGCACAGGACCUCUACUAAUGCCACCCCAUGAGGGAAGGUGGUCUUUUAAACCAGAGGUCAGCAUAUUGCAUGCAUGCACAUUAAAUGUCAUCAUAGUUAGCUGAGUCUAUUGUUCUAACCUUCUGAGAUCAUUUUGAGCCUUCUUUGUGCCUUCUAGCUUGGCAUCAUCAGCAAUUUGUGGUAAUAGAAGGGGGCCCGCCUAUCAAGAAAUAUCAGAGAAAACAAAGGCAGUACAGUUCCACGGGGCUCCAACCACAACACAAGUCCUAGCUCCUGUGGCAUUGGGAAUUCCAGCCAUGGAUGUCUGGGACUAUAACCCGGAUCUCUAAUAGACUACAAGUUCAGCAGUGUCAUCCUUGCAUACUCUAACGUUUUAUGUACAUAUCCUUUUUUUUUUAUUUUUUAAUUUCCCUUUUUCCUCUUUAAGCCCUCCCUAAUAAAGGACGUGGAGAGGAAGAGUUCCUUGCUUACUUCAACCAUAUAAACUGGAUUUUUCUUUUCUUUUCUUUUUUUGAGACAAGGUCACUCUGUCACCCAGGCUAAAGUACAGUGGCACAAUCAUAGCUCACUGCAGCCUCAACUUUCUAGCUUCCUAUCCUCCUGCCUCAGCCUCCCAAGUAGCUGGGAUUACAGGCACAUGCAACUGGACCUGGCUUUAUUUUUUUUGUAGAGACAGGGUCUUGCUAUGUUGCCCAGGCUGGUCUUGAACCCCUGGGCUCCAAUAAUCCUUCCACUUCUGCCUCUCGAAGUGCUGGAAUUAUAGUCAGGGGCACCAUGCCCAGCCUAUAAAUUGGAUUUCUUUUUUCCCUGAAGAAAUUUUUAUUGUUUUCUUCCUGCUGUCUGAUGUGUUUUAAUAAAUAGAAUGUUUGUCUUUUGUUUGCAUAUAUUCCAAG